AUACGUAGGAAGCGAGCGUUAUCCGGAAUUACUGGGCGUAAAGCGCGCGUAGGUGGUCUUUCAAGUCGAAUGUGAAAUUUCACGGCUUAACCGGGAAGGGUCAUUCGAUACUGUUGGACUAGAGAGCGGCAGGGGGAAGCGGAAUUCCCGGUGUAGUAGUGAAAUGCGUAGAUAUCGGGAGGAACACCAGUGGCGAAGGCGGCUUCCUGGGCUGUUUCUGACACUGAGGCGCGAAAGUGUGGGUAGCGAACAGAAUUAGAUACUCUGGUAGUCCACACCGUAAACGAUGGGUACUAGGUAUAGGGAGUAUCGACCCUCUUUGUGCCGAAGCUAACGCUUUAAGUACCCCGCCUGGGGACUACGGCCGCAAGGCUAAA
rnacentral:rRNA from 1 species